CUACGGGUUGCUGCAGUCGAGAAUCAUCUGCAAUGGGCGAAAGCCUGACGGUGCAAUGCCGCGUGGGGGAUGAAGGCCCUCGGGUCGUAAACCCCUGUCAGGAGGGACGAAGAAGUGACGGUACCUCCAGAGGAAGCCACGGCUAACUACGUGCCAGCAGCCGCGGUAAUACGUAGGUGGCGAGCGUUAUUCGGAUUUACUGGGCGUAAAGGGUCCGCAGGGGGUUUGCCAAGUCUGGUGUGAAAUCUCACAGCUCAACUGUGAAACUGCGCUGGAUACUGGUGAACUAGAGUGCGCGAGGGGUGAGUGGAAUUCCUGGUGUAGCGGUGGAAUGCGUAGAUAUCAGGAAGAACACCAACGGCGAAGGCAGCUCACUGGCGCGCAACUGACCCUCAUGGACGAAAGCGUGGGUAGCAAACAGGAUUAGAUACCCUCGUAGUC
rnacentral:rRNA from 1 species